GAUGAAGAACGUAGCGAAAUGCGAUACGUAAUGUGAAUUGCAGAAUUCAGUGAAUCAUCGAGUCUUUGAACGCACAUUGCGCCCCCUGGUAUUCCGGGGGGCAUGCCUGUCCGAGCGUCAUUGCUGCCCUCAAGCACGGCUUGUGUGUUGGGCCCCGUCCUCCGAUCCCGGGGGACGGGCCCGAAAGGCAGCGGCGGCACCGCGUCCGGUCCUCGAGCGUAUGGGGCUUUGUCACCCGCUCUGUAGGCCCGGCCGGCGCUUGCCGAUCAACCCAAAUUUUUAUCCAGGUUGACCUCGGAUCAGGUAGGGAUACCCGCUGAACUUAAGCAUAUCAAUAGCGGAGGA
rnacentral:misc_RNA from 1 species